GAUGAACGCUGACAGAAUGCUUAACACAUGCAAGUCUUUGGCAAAGCUGUGCUUGCACAGUCUAGCCAAGGCGGACGGGUGAGUAACGCGUAAGGAACUUGCCCUGCAGUCAGGGAUAACAGACGGAAACGACUGAUAAAACCUGAUAAAGUCAGGCGGACUCAUGUCCAGCCUGAUGAAAAGAGAUGCUGCAGGAGAGCCUUGCGUCCUAUUAGCUUGUUGGUGGGGUAACGGCCCACCAAGGCGAUGAUAGGUAGCCGGCCUGAGAGGGUGGACGGCCACAAGGGGACUGAGAUACGGCCCUUACUCCUACGGGAGGCAGCAGUGGGGAAUAUUGGACAAUGGGGGCAACCCUGAUCCAGCAAUUCUGUGUGCACGAUGAAGGUUUUCGGAUUGUAAAGUGCUUUCAGCAGGGAAGAAAA
rnacentral:rRNA from 1 species